AUUGAACGCUGGCGGCAGGCCUAACACAUGCAAGUCGAGCGGAUGAAGGGAGCUUGCUCCUGGAUUCAGCGGCGGACGGGUGAGUAAUGCCUAGGAAACUGCCUGGUAGUGGGGGAUAACGUUCGGAAACGGGCGCUAAUACCGCAUACGACCUGAGGGCGAACGUGGGGGAUCUUCGGACCUCACGCUAUCCGAUGAGCCUAGGUCGGAUAAGCUAGUUGGUGGGGUAAAGGCCUACCAAGGCGACGAUCCGUAACUGGUCUGAGAGGAUGAUCAGUCACACUGGAACUGGGACACGGUCCAGACUCCUACGGGAGUCAGCAGUGGGGAAUAUUGAACAAUGGGCGAAAGCCUGCUCCAGCCAUGCCGCGUGUGUGAAGAAGUUCUUCGGAUUGUAAAGCACUUUAAGUUGGGAGGAAGGGCAGUAAGUUAAUACCUUGCUGUUUUGACGUUACCAACAGAAUAAGCACCGGCUAACUUCGUG
rnacentral:rRNA from 1 species